rnacentral:tRNA from 1 species
GCUCGUCCUCGACCACUGCGGCGGAGGCCGUGGGGUCCGGCUCCGCCGCGGCGGGCGUGACGCCGCCCAGGCCGAUCGAUCCGGCCGCGAGCACC